rnacentral:rRNA from 1 species
UACGAAGGGGGCUAGCGUUGUUCGGAAUUACUGGGCGUAAAGCGAGUGUAGGUGGUUUUCCAAGUUGGAUGUGAAAGCCUUGAGCUCAACUCAAGAAAUGCAUUCAGGACUGGAAGACUAGAGGACCGGAGAGGAUAGUGGAAUUCCCAGUGUAGUGGUGAAAUACGUAGAGAUUGGGAAGAACACCAGUGGCGAAGGCGGCUAUCUGGACGGUUUCUGACACUAAGACUCGAAAGCGUGGGGAGCAAACAGG